rnacentral:SRP_RNA from 1 species
GCGCCGGCCCCCCGCAUCGGCAAGCCGUGAACCCCGCCAGGUCCGGAAGGAAGCAACGGCAGCGGUGCAGCCGGGUGCCGGGGUAAGUCGGCGCGAA